rnacentral:rRNA from 1 species
GACGUACGUCUACGAGAGUAGUUGACUAUGGCUCAGGAUGAACGCUGGCGGCGUGCUUAACACAUGCAAGUCGAACGGAGUUUUAAAUGGAAGCCCUCGGGUGGAAGUUUAGAAACUUAGUGGCGGACGGGUGAGUAACGCGUGGGUAACCUGCCUCAUACAGGGGGAUAACAGUCGGAAACGAUUGCUAAAACCGCAUAAUAUAGCGAAACCGCAUGAUUUUGCUAUCAAAUAUUUAUAGGUAUGAGAUGGGCCCGCGUCUGAUUAGCUAGUUGGUGGGGUAAUGGCCUACCAAGGCGACGAUCAGUAGCCGGCUUGAGAGAGUGACCGGCCACAUUGGGGCUGAGACACGGCCCAAACUCCUACGGGAGGCAGCAGUGGGGAAUAUUGGACAAUGGGGGAAACCCUGAUCCAGCGACGCCCGCGUGAGUGAAGAAGUAUUUCGGUAUGUAAAGCUCUAUCAGCAGGGAAGAUAAUGACAGUACCUGACUAAGAAGCCCCGGCUAACUACGUGCCAGCAGCAGC